UUUUGCUUCUCUUCUGUUCAUUCCAACAGUUUCCUCAGUGUUCAUUUGCAGCUCCAAGUUUUCUCAAGGUAACAUAACAUUAUUAUCACUUUUGUACCAAAGGGAGGGUGAAUUGGAAACAAAAUAGCAAACACAUCAGCAAACUAUUCAACAUCAUUAUCAUCAUUUUCGUUAUCAAUAUCAUCACAAAUUUGCUUAAUAAAUUGGAAAACCAAAAACUGUGUUCUCUUCAAAAAUAACUUUACACUCCCAGUGUUUGUGUUUAUCAGCUCAAAAUGGACCAGCAAAUGAAUUUACUGACAAUGUUGACUUGAUUAAAGUUUUCAAAUGAUCAAAAACUAAUCCAAAUAAUUUACCAUUUAAUUGUCACUUACCAUUGAGAAAUUCAAUUGUGAACCAAUUCUAGUGAUUUACAAUUCCAUCCAAUCGAAAUAUUUUUUUGUUCGUAAAAAUUGUUAAAGGUGAACAAGCAAUUUUUAAUCAUCAUUUCGAGAUAAAUUGAUUUCCAGCAAUUGCAAAUGUGAAUUUCAAACUUGCAUCUUUCAUCAAUAAAGUGUUAAUCGGAUAUCAGUUUAUUCACUUCAAUUGCCAUCAACUUGAUCAAGAAAAAGCUCAAGAUUGAACCUUAUUUUGCUGUUGGUUUCAAAAUUUCAAUCUUUUUCUUGUUCCAUCAAAUUGGAAAAGGAAAAGGCGUAAAAUAAUUGGUGAACAAAGUGGGUGAAGUUACGUUGAUAUAUUGCUCUCAGGAAAGAGUGAAAAUUGUGAGUGAAAGGGUGAGAGGAAGAGUGAAGGAGGAGGAGGAGGAGGAAGGAAGAAAGUGAAAGUGGAAUUGGAAAGGGAAGAAAAGCCGAAAAAGAAAAGGAAAAAGAAGACGAAAACGAAACACAAAACGAUUCCUUUUUUUCAUGGGCAAUGAUUCUUCGAUUUCUCUCCUUGAUAUUUUGCUAUGAUAUAUCAUACAAGAUUGUUUUAUCUCAAUAUGUUGCCACUUUAGGUGGAAUCGUUGCCUUCUCAUGUAACGUCUCCGGUUGGGGUGACGAUACUGUUAGCUUAAUGUUAUUUUACAAGGAUGGACUUAAAGUGCCUUUUUACAGUCUUGAUGCUCGUGAAGUGCCCUUUCUACAAGCCAAAAGGUUCGGUAAUGAUACCCGGAUGUACCUCAAUGAGACAACCUCACCGCCUUCCCUUAUCAUUGAAUCUGUAAAGAUGGAAGAUGAAGGAGAAUAUCGGUGCAGAGUUGAUUUUAGAGAUGAUAAAACUCGAAAUUCACUAUUUUCACUUAAAGUUGUUCAUAAACCUAAAGUUUCAGUAAACCUUGGUGCCAAUUUGAAUGCGCAAAAUAUCAGGGAAGGAAUCGAUGUAAUCCUGGAAUGUAAUGUAACUGCUAGUCCGUCAGUUUUUGAGAUAACUUGGACUUUUAAUGAUAAGUCCGUCAUUAGUAAUCUUUCUGAUGGGCUCAUCGUGUCGGGCAACUUUCUUGUCCUGCAAAAGGUUAAGAGGUCACAUCGUGGUAACUAUCAGUGCAUUGCUGUCAAUUCAGUUGGAGAAGGUCGAAGUAAUCAUUUUUUCCUUCGAGUUCAAUUUGCUCCAAUUUGUAAGCCUGAUCAACAAUUAGUCUAUCCUAUUGGUGCCAGUGAGGAAGCUUUGAUAAGCUGCUCGGUUGACGCUGAUCCACAGCAGAUAUCAUUCAAAUGGUUCUUGAACAGUUCAACAACCAAUUAUGGGAUCAACAAUUAUACCGUUAACGAGACAACAAGUCACAUACUUUAUUCACCCAAAAACAGAUAUGGUUAUGGGUCAAUUUAUUGUACUUCAUCCAAUCCAAUUGGACACCAAAAGGAUCCCUGCUCAUUCAACAUAAUCCCUCCAGGUGUUCCAGAAAAGGUUGAAAAUUGUACAAUGAAGAACCACUCGUUGACUGGUUUACUGGUUGACUGUGCUGCUCCGUUGAACGGAGUAUCGAUGCCAAUAUACAUUAUCGAAGUUUUCAAAGCGAAAACUCGAGAGAAAAUAUUAAGCCUUACUAAUCGAGAUCGUCCAACCUUUAUACUUCAAGAUUUGUCUCCACAAGAUUAUUAUGAUUUGUUUGUUUACUCUAAGACUACUGGAGGUCAAAGUGAUCCAGUUUCCUUGAAGGCAAGUCUAUCACCAUCGCCAAUGACCCAUAAUCAAAUGAAACAAGAUAUAACCAGGGAGGAAACUUACAGUCCUUUGUUGGUCAUAUUAAUGGCCAUUGUUGGAAUCAUCCUUUUCAUUAUUAUCAUGAUUAUAUUGGUUAUAAGAAUCAAAUCACAUCGUGUUGAGGUUACAGACAGAAGACAGGUUGGACCUUCAACUGGUUAUUAUGAUGAAUCAAAGUCAUAUCCAAGAAUUACUCAGAAAGAGAAAAGCCUUUUAGAUUUAGUUAAUAUCGACAAAAGCCUUUCAAAUGGUGACAUCUCAUGUUUCCAAACUCCUUACGAUUAUCAUAAUAUUAAGCAAACAAUUGAGAUGACAUUAAAGCAAAAUAAACUUCCAGUUAAUGCACGAUCCAUUCAUCAACCAGACAGUCCAAUAGAUAAAUCAUAUCAAUUAUCUUCUUCAUCGCUCAAAGCAACUCUAUCUGAUGAACAUGUUCGUCUACGAAAUUUAUCUACUUCUUUGGAAGAUAAUGGUGAAAAGGAAUCAAAAUUAUCGUUGAUAAGUGAAACUUGUAAUCAACUUUUAAUUGAUUCUGUAACUGCUGCCGAUUGUUCAGACAACGAGCUUAUCACUGAUACAAGUUUAAUGAAAAACAUCCGAAUCUCUUGUGAUGGAAGUGAAGUAACAAUUUCAUUUCAACUGCCCAGGGAUCAACUCAGUCCAUUGGCAAUUGUUGAUAACAAAACAACUUUGGUUUAAUAAUAUAGAUAAAUAUAUCAGUAUAAUUAUGGAGUAAAUAAAAUUAUUCAUUUUUCACUUUCUGGUCCAAUGUUUAUAAUAAAUUUAUCCAACAUUUCAAAAAACAUCAUCAUCAUCAUCAUCGAGGCUCAUAUUCAACACGAUUCUCAACUCAUUCAAUGAACAAACGUAAACAGCUUAACAAGUUUAACCACAAUUUCAUUUACUUUAAUCUGUCCAUUGCUUUGGGCUUGGUAAUACACUGAAAAUGCUUGUAAAUUGAGAAGAAGAAGGAAAUAUAUUUUUCUUUUUACCUUUAUUUUCUUCUGUUUCAUCUUUCUUUUUUUCAUUUCACCAAGAAAAUUUUUCAUUUCUCAUUCCCUUCAAUUGACCAUGAGACUUUAAUGAUACUCAAAGGAUUAAACUAAAUUUAGUUUGGAAGAUAAUCAGAGAAGAGCGAAACGAAAAUCUCCAACAAAAAGAAACAAAGUGUACACUUUAUUCACUCAACAUUCCCAUAAUCAUAAAGAGUUGAAAAGUUCAAUCCUGAGUCUGAAAAUGAGUAGCUCGAGAAGUUGGAUGAAGCCACAAAUGAGAUUCGAAAUAUUGUUUGAAUAUUUUUCUUUGUGAUUUAACUCUGUGAUAAAAUGAUCCAUUCAAUAUUAUGUAAAAAAAGACUUUUUUAAUUGUAAAACAUUAAACAACAAAUCAAUCCACUGACCAUUGGCCCUAAUUAUUUCCAGUCAUUUUCAAAGGUUUAGGUUUAGGUUUGGAUUCAAUCUGAAUCAAUUGUUGGUUCAACUCAUUACCUUGUUUUGAAAAAGAUACAAAAUUUUCUUGCCUUGUUCAACUUGACUUGACUAAAGGUUUACAAAUAAACAAAAUUUUUGUAUCAUAUUAGGCCUGUUAUUAUUAUUAUAGCAUUAUAUUAUUAUUAUAUCCAUAUUUCUG